rnacentral:rRNA from 1 species
AUGGCGGCCCGCCGGUGGCUGCUGUUGCUUUUCGUCGGCCUCGCCGGCGGCGGAGCCCAUGGCCAGGUCGAUAACUUAGGUUUUGUAAGCAUCGACUGCGGCCUGCCGGAAAAUGUCGUCGGCUACGUGGAUAACGACACCAAACUCCGGUACGUCUCAGACAUGGGCUUCAUCGACACGGGCACUAACCACAAUUUGUCGGCCGAGUACCUCAAGCCAUCGAUAGGCAGGAUCUGGCACACGGUGCGGAGCUUCGCCGGCGGCAGCGCCGGUGCGCGUAGCUGCUACACGGUCCGGUCCCUCGUGUCCGGGCUCAAGUACCUCGUCCGGGCGGGAUUCAUCUACGGCAACUACGACGGCCUCAACCGGCUGCCCGUCUUCGACCUCCACAUCGGCGUCAACUACUGGCAAACCAUCAACGUCUCGGUAGCCGGCGUGAUGGCGGAGAUCAUCACCGUCGUACCUGGCGACUCCAUGCACAUGUGCCUUGUGAACACCGGCUCCGGUACGCCGUUCAUCUCUAGCCUGGACGUCAGGCCCCUGGAGAACAAGUUCUAUCCUCACGCCGACGAGUCACAGGGGCUGGUUCUGGUGUCCAGGACCAACUUUGGCGCAAGUGAUACCACAUUCGUUAGGUACCCAGAAGAUCGGUUCGACCGUAUAUGGUCCCCAUGGAGCAACUCGACAAUUUGGUCGGUGAUCUCGACGACUGAGAAGGUGCAGAACAGCGCCACCAACGGCAACGACACUUUCGAGCCGCCGUUGCCCGUGAUGCAGACUGCCAUCACGCCCAUCAACUCCUCCAGCCCCAUCGACUUCACCUGGGAUGCCCAGGCCAGCACCACCAACAACCCAAAGCCCGGGUAUGUAUGGAUGCUGCACUUCGCAGAGCUGCAGCCCACCGGUGUUCGCCAGUUCUACAUCUCUCUCAACGGAAAAUCUUGGUUAAUGAACGGUAGCUGCACUCCAAACAACCUCUCGACCACCACCCUUUACAGCACCAAACCCGUCUAUGCUUCCAACCAGUACAACAUCUCACUGGAUGCCACCGUGAACUCGACACUUCCGCCGAUCAUCAACGCUGCCGAGAUCUACUCUGUCAUCCCCACCACCAACAUAGCCACUACCGUUCAAGAAGUUUCUGCCAUCUCGGCCAUCAGAGAAAAGUACCGUGUGAAGAAGAACUGGAUGGGUGAUCCAUGUGCGCCCAAGAAUUUUGUGUGGAAUGGAUUGCGUUGUAGCUAUGCUGCUUCUAGCCCACCAACUGUCACAGGCUUGAAUCUAUCUUCCAGUGGUCUCAGUGGCAAUGUGUCAUCUUCUUUGGCCAGUCUUAGAGGUUUACAGUACUUGGAUUUGUCACACAACAAUCUGACGGGCUCAAUUCCUGAGAGCCUUUCGCAAUUGCCGUCGCUUGUGUUUUUAGAUUUCACAACCAAUCAGCUCAGUGGAUCAAUACCUUCGGCACUUCUAAAAAGAACUCAAGAUGGCUCCCUAACACUUAAAUAUGGUAACAAUCCAAACCUCUGCGGGAAUGGAAAUUAUUGCCAACCUCCUAAAAAUAAGAGCAGCUCUAAGGUUGUCGUCUAUGUUCUUACCCCAAUAAUUGCAGUGUCCGUGAUUGUGCUUUUGUCAAUUAUGUUCCUUUGCAUGCGAAGGAGAAUGCAAGGAACAACAAGCAACCACGUCAAGUCACAAGACGAGGCAAAUAUCACGCCCUUGCACUCCCAAAACAACAACGAGCACGAUUCAUUGUGUUUGGACAAUCGACGGUUCAAGUAUGAUGAACUGGUGGCCGUGACAAACGGCUUCGAGCGAGUGAUUGGCCGAGGAGGAUUCGGGAAAGUAUAUGCUGGAUUUUUGGAGGAUGGCACACAAGUGGCUGUCAAAUUGCGUUCUGAAUCUUCAGAUCAAGGUGUACAAGAAUUCCUAGCAGAGGCUCAGACCUUGGCAAAGAUUCAUCACAAGAAUCUUGUGUCCUUGAUUGGCUACUGCAAGGACAGGGAGUACAUGGCCCUUGUCUACGAGUACAUGUCUGAAGGAGCCUUGCAUGAACAUCUAAGAAGGAGAGAGAACAAUGCAAGGUGUUUAACCUGGAGACAGACUCUUCGUAUUGCACUGCAAUCCGCGCAAGGACUAGAGUAUCUGCACAAGGGAUGCAACCCGCCCCUCAUCCACAGGGAUGUGAAGACGUCCAACAUAUUGCUGAAUGCAAACCUGGAGGCAAAGAUCGCCGAUUUUGGCCUGCUCAAGGCUUUCAACAGCAACGGUGAUACCCAUGUGUCCACGGCCAGGGUGGUCGGCACACGCGGUUACCUUGCCCCUGAGUACCUAGCAACAUUUCAACUAACCAACAAGAGUGACGUGUUUAGCUUCGGUGUGGUGCUUCUCGAGAUAAUCACAGGGCAACCUCACAUCCUGAACGAUCCAGAGCCGACGAGCAUUGUCCAGUGGGUGCGACAGCGCCUCGCCCAUGGCAACAUUGAAACUAUAGUAGAUGUGCGCAUGCACAACGAUCAUGAUGUCAACAGCGUGUGGAAAGCCACAGAGACUGCGCUCAAAUGCACGGCCCAACUACCAGAGCAACGGCCCACAAUGACCGACGUGGUGUUACAACUACAGGAGUGCCUUAAGCUUGAGGCCGCGCGCAACGACGUGAAUGCUUGA